GAUGAAGAACGUAGCGAAAUGCGACAAGUAAUGUGAAUUGCAGAAUUCCGUGAAUCAUCGAAUCUUUGAACGCACAUUGCGCCCGCUGGUAUUCCGGCGGGCAUGCCUGUUCGAGCGUCAUUUCAACCCUCAAGCCCCCGGGUUUGGUGUUGGGGAUCGGCUCUGCCUUCUGGCGGUGCCGCCCCCGAAAUACAUUGGCGGUCUCGCUGCAGCCUCCAUUGCGUAGUAGCUAACACCUCGCAACUGGAACGCGGCGCGGCCAUGCCGUAAAACCCCAACUUCUGAAUGUUGACCUCGGAUCAGGUAGGAAUACCCGCUGAACUUAAGCAUAUCAAUAAGCGGAGGA
rnacentral:misc_RNA from 1 species